rnacentral:lncRNA from 1 species
AAAACAUAAAUUAGAAAAGUAUAUAAAAACUUAAAAGCAUAUAAUGUAGUGUUUCAUACUUUAAUUCAAAAAUCAAACAAAGUUCAUCCCUUUUUAUACUCCACCAUCAUUGGAAGGAGUCGAUGUCGAGGCUUGUAGUCCAAAACGGCCGACCAAGGUGUUCACAAUAUCUCGGGUUUCUUUCAAUUCCGCUUCCAAUCUUUCCAACUAUAAAUACCUGCACUUUUACACCAUCUUGGAUCUCUGCAUACCAAUUAUACAAACAACAAUUUUGUCAAGAAAAAAAAGUACAGUAUAUUCCAUCCAGUGAUUAAUAAAUCGUAAUUAAUUACCGCAAUGACAUGUGCGAAAGCAUACUGAAUGCCGGUAGCCCUGACUUCGAGAGCAGUUGCACCUCCGAUUCUCUUCACCUCUUGAAAAGAGAAUUAUAUUCAUUCGUCGAAUUUAUUAAAUUGAAUUUCUUUAAUAAAUAAACAAUAAAUGCAUGAAUAAUGACUUGCCUUGUAGCACAAAGGCCAAAAGGUGUUCCUUUAUUUCUUAGAUGUUGGGAAGGAAAUGCUGUAAAAGUGCAGAUAUUUAUAUUUGUCACUGUAUCAUCAUCCUCAAACAAUAUUUUUUUUUUAAUUUCAUCGAUCUGAUAUUUGCCUAUCGACUGCAGAUUCAAAUGAAUUUUAAAAUAAAUUUCAGACUGGGUAAUUUACACACAACUUCAAAGCAAUUUUAUUAGGAUUUCAAAUCAAUGAAAAUAAAAUUAGGGCAAGAAAGUUACCUUUUUGUGGUUGUUGAUCGAGAGCUAGGUAGAGAUGAGGACAUUAGGGCUAGCUACAGAUGAACGAGGCCGUAGGGAGAAGAGGGAGGUGGCGGCGCCGCCGUAUAGACCUCGCCGGAUGAUGGGCGGAGAGCUGGGCAGAGAGCUACGGCGGACGGCGGACGAGCAAGACGGAGGGGGAUUGAAGAGGGCCGACGGCGGCGGCGGACGCAAAUGGGGAGGCGCCAGCGG